AACGUAGGUGGCGAACGUUAUCCGGAUUUACUGGGCGUAAAGAGUGCGUAGGCGGUCUUUCAAGUCAGAUGUAAAAUCUCCUGGCUUAACUGGGAGGGACCAUCUGAUACUGUUGGACUUGAGUGUAACAGAGGAGAGUGGAAUUCCCGGUGUAGUGGUGGAAUGCGUAGAUAUCGGGAGGAACACCAGUGGCGAAAGCGGCUCUCUGGGUUAUAACUGACGCUGUUGCACAAAAGCGUGGGGAG
rnacentral:rRNA from 1 species